UGGAGCUGAGCUUUAGCAAUUUGGGUUUGACCAGACUUAUCUCGCCUGGGGCGAGUUUGUCUCGCCAAGCUUCUGACCAAGCAUCCAGCCACAAAACCCAGCAGGGAAAGGACUAGGAAAAGGGCAGGAAGGGUAGAGACAUGCAGGUGACAAGCAAAGGAGGUGGCUGUAGCACUCCUGGAGCCCCACAAUGGGACAAAUCUGCAUGGAGAAGGUCUCUCACAGACCUUCCCAUCCCUGUGAGGCUGAUGCAAAGAGCCAGCACACCAGAUAUUCCCACGGUCGCUGUCCCCAUGUCCCAGCUCAGGCAGAAAAGCUGCUCCCAGUAGGCGCUUGAAUGGCUUUCCCCUCGCACACGGAAGCGCAGGGAGCACGGACGUCGUCUCUCAUUGUGAUGGGAAAGGUUAUCGGGUACGAAACAAAAGUGAAAUCAUCCGCUGGCAUUCCUGGGACCAAAAUAGCUGCCUGCUUCCAGCACUGACGUUAUCACAGAGGAAGGAAGGCUCCGGAUACAGGCUGUCCCGCUCCAGGGCUCACGUACCGACCCUGCAGUGAGCCAACACCAGGGCUGGCUGUGAGCAGAAGCAAAAUGAGGCAUUUUUGCCACGGCAGAUUAAAGACAGUGCAGGAGGUCCCAAAGUUGCCAUCACUGCCAAGCAGCCACAGAGCCUCACACAAGCAACACUCAUUGAUGGCCCAGCAAAGAAGCUCAUCUGCCUCACGUUAAUGUUCAGGGCUAGAGCCCUCCUGGGGACAGCACGGAGUGGGGAGAGCUGUGGCAGAUGGACACCCCUAACAGGGGACUCUGUGAGCUGCCAGCCCUGCUGCUGGCAGCCUGGGGCCUGUGGUGCCCUGCCUGAGGAACUGGGUCUGCACAAGGACAUGGUCAGCAAAGGCAAGGCUUGGCUACCAGUUCACUAAAAGCAUCUUUACUGUUCCACUUA